UACGGGGGGAGCAAGCGUUGUUCGGAAUUACUGGGCGUAAAGGGCGCGUAGGCGGCCUUCUAAGUCAGACGUGAAAUCCCCCGGCUUAACCUGGGAACUGCGUCUGAUACUGGGAGGCUUGAGUAUGGGAGAGGGAUGUAGAAUUCCAGGUGUAGCGGUGAAAUGCGUAGAUAUCUGGAGGAAUACCGGUGGCGAAGGCGGCAUCCUGGACCAUUACUGACGCUGAGGCGCGAAAGCUAGGGGAGCAAACAGG
rnacentral:rRNA from 1 species